rnacentral:rRNA from 1 species
GGCUGAGGCGUGAUGACGAGGCACUACGGUGCUGAAGCAACAAAUGCCCUGCUUCCAGGAAAAGCCUCUAAGCAUCAGGUAACAUCAAAUCGUACCCCAAACCGACACAGGUGGUCAGGUAGAGAAUACCAAGGCGCUUGAGAGAACUCGGGUGAAGGAACUAGGCAAAAUGGUGCCGUAACUUCGGGAGAAGGCACGCUGAUAUGUAGGUGAAGUCCCUCGCGGAUGGAGCUGAAAUCAGUCGAAGAUACCAGCUGGCUGCAACUGUUUAUUAAAAACACAGCACUGUGCAAACACGAAAGUGGACGUAUACGGUGUGACGCCUGCCCGGUGC